GACGUAGGAGGCGAGCGUUGUCCGGAUUCAUUGGGCGUAAAGAGCGCGCAGGUGGUUCUGUAUGUCUACCGUGAAAGCGUACGGCUCAACCGUAUUUUGUCGGUAGAAACUGCAGGACUUGAGGCUGGGAGGGGCUGGUGGAAUUCCCUGUGUAGCGGUGAAAUGCGUAGAGAUGGGGGAGAACACUCGUGGCGAAGGCGGGUUGCUGGGCCGACACUGACGCUGAGGCGCGAAAGCCAGGGGGAGCGAACGGG
rnacentral:rRNA from 1 species